UUUAUUAUUUUCUUUAACUCUUACAGCAUCCUUAUGCAGUAGGAGCUCUGGGACAGAUGUGGGAGAUUUUAGGAAAGACUUACUUAGGUAUGGGGUAAAGAAGAGGAUUCGCCAUUGUCUGAGUGGGCAGUGGAGAAGUCAGUGUUGAUGAGGGUUUAAAAAAUGAGAGGAGCCCUGGCCGCUUUGGCUCAGUGGUUGGAGCGUUGGCCUGCGGACCAGAGAGUCCCGCUAGGAACAUGUACCAAAAACCAAAAAAACAAAAUGAGAGGAGCUGGAAGUCCAACCAGUGUGUCCUGGUAAUGUCUAUUCAGAAAGUGAGAAGAAUAUGCUUCUUAAAUCAAUUUCUUAGAUGGAGAAUAAUAGUCAUAAUUGCAUACUUAUUAUUUCACCA